rnacentral:rRNA from 1 species
AUGGGAAACGUUUGGAUACGCUCCUCACGCACGUCCUUAUCGAGCAUGCGUGCCACGUCCUCCGCCACACCGCCCUGCUUCCUUAUCCUUUUCUCCUUAGCCACACAUUUAUUGUUGCCAGAACCACCCCCUUCUCUCUUCUACUCUUCCAGCUGUGGCGCCGCAGCGCGCUCGUUCGUGCUCGCCCCGACGCCCUCCCCUGGUAGCUUCCACAUUUGUUGUGCUCGCACGAAGCCCCACCGUCCUCCCGCGCGUCGCCGUAGAGCUCCAACCAGAACCAAAAAAAGCUGCAAUCGGCGCAUCGCCGUCGAUGCUGAGCGGAAGCGGCAGCCGAGCGUGCGUGCUACCACGGGGCGUGGAAAAGCUGCAUCCGGCUGA